UCAGCUAAAACCAUUCAUCAUGUUCGCUGUUAUAUUCAUGUGUCUGUGGCAUUCACUAGGUAACUCCAUGGCAGAUUCAAUAGAGACACUUUUCACUCAUAAAAUUGUAGAUGAAGGUGAUGAUGUUACUCUGUCCUGCAAACACGACUCAAGCUACCCUUCAGGAAACUACCUGCACUGGUACAGACAAUAUCCAAAAUCUAACCCAGAGUUCCUUCUUUAUAUUACUGAUACUGGAGCUCAAAGUCCAAACAUCCCCCCAAGAAUGUCUGCUGAAGUUAAUAUAGAUAAUAAACAAGUGGAUCUGAACAUCUCCUCUGCUGCUAUAUCAGACUCUGCUCUAUACUACUGUGCUCUGGCGCCCACUUUGACAGGAAAUCCAGCUGCACUUUACAAAAACUAACACACAGUUGUUGUUUA